GAGCAUAAGAAGAAAAAAUAGAAAAAAAUAUUUAUAAAUUUGUAAGCAAUUUGUGAGCUCUCUUGUAAGACAGAGAAACCGCAUCCUUCAUUAACCUAUUACUUCUAGAAGGUCUUGAACUUCUAGAAGGUCUUGAACGGUGAAUUAUAGAUCUAACUUUACCGUAGCUCGAUCUACCGUAGGUUUGAAGUAUUAGAAAACCUUUGUGGAUGAUUCAAAGGCACAUGAAUCAAUCUUUACGAUUCGGGACUCAUCGCAUUCUAGUGCGAAUUGCUUAUACGAAAAAUACGAACAAAUACUGUCACUGCGUGUUACAAAAUCCAAUAAGUUCGUUCCUCAU
rnacentral:lncRNA from 1 species